CGACGGCAGACCCGGAAGUUCGUCACAACUCUCUGCUAGGUGGCCCGAUGGGUCUCUGAGGAGCCGAGACUCCGGAGCCUUAGAGCCUCGCUAUAUGGUGAGUCCACACAGGGAGUCGAGCUUUCUCACAACAUGGCGGCCCCGGGGCAGUCAGACGACAUACAAGGGGGCCAAAGAUGUCCGGAACAGGUAUUCUGACUAACAAGCUGGCAGCGGCAUGGCCCUCUACAACCCGGUCUCAGAAGUCAGGCGGCCCUUCUGUUGGUUACCAGCGAGUCACAGGCGCAAGGUUCUAGAAGAGCGCGUGGAGUGAGAGACGUUGUCGUGACCGUCUGAGGAGCCUAAAAUCUGCUACAGAUGCACCUGGCCUUUUCUAAGAGUAACCAGUUGGUUGUCUGCAAAGGUGUGACUGAAGAGUUUAGGACAGAGCAAAAGCCAGAGUUUCGGAGGAAGUCUGGUCGGGAGGAGGCCUGGGCUGUGCUGGUGGUUUAUCAAGGGAAAUCUGCUCAGGGGAGUGAAUGAACUUGUGGGAAGGGGAGAGUCACAGAGCCAGAGGCCUGGCGUUGUCCAGGGCACGGGUUCUUGGCCACACUGGCCUGAGCAGCAGCCACCGCCCCCCGCCAUGUCCCUGGGCAAGGCCGUCCCCUCAAGCCGCCUCUGCUGAGAAAUGCUUCUUCUGAAUAAUCCCGUUACUUGUUCCCACUCCCUCCCACCAAGCAGCCCCGCAAGACCGUGAACCCAUAUGGAGCUUUCGCUGCCGGGAAGCAUAGGCUGGUCAGGCUAACAUUUCUUGUGCUCUCCGUUAAUAGAUGGAUCGUCUGGUGAUGCGUCAGCCUCACAAGAUUGGCUAAGGGGAGUCUGGCCCUGCCUGGCGUGCGGGUGUAUCCCAGACUGUUCUGACGGAUUCACCAAGGUCGGCUGGUGGUGAUCUGUCCGUGGGGCCGGCGCUUUUUCCAGCGCGCAUCCACCUGCACCUCCUCGUGUGCCUUCUGUGAACCACCACGGGGGUUAUCACCCCACUUUCUAGAUGAGAAGGCCGAGGUGCAGUGAGGAGGCACGUUUUGCCCGCGGUCAGGCCGCCGGUAAAGGUGCAGUUGGAACAGCGGUCCAGGUGUGCGUGCAAACCGCAAACCUCUUCAUGAAGGUCGGGGCACGUACCUGAUGGCAAACCCGUCGGACGGGUGUGCUGGGAGGAAGGGAAGCCUUGAGUCACCAGCUCACGCCAGCCUCCUAAGAGCCCUGUGGCUCCAACAAAUUCGUAAAAAUAGAAAACCUGGAGGGAUUAAAGCCCCAAAGGACGCUUCAAGUCCCCCGCGGGAAAGGGAGGCUUGCCGUAUGUUCUGAUGGUCUGCAUUCAAAUUUAUUUUUUUUUUAUCUCAGCUGGAUGUACACUCACCCAUCACAGGAUCAGCUCUCAGAAUAGAGAGGUACCUGUUGAAUCAUCCACCCCACUUCCUGCCUCGUGCGGGCAUCUCUCCAAGUGCUGAGCCAUCCGCUUCUCUGCUGGGGCCUGAGAUAUAUCAGGAUUUGCAGCCCUGGUGACAGGAGACAAAAUAGACUCCCAUUUCCUUUGGAACCAUUUAGCUAGUUGAGCGAGUGCUUGAUUGUUUCAAUGGGAUGAGCAAUGAGCAAUAAUCAGGUCUCUCCCUGGCUGCUUCUCUCUGCCCUGUGCUUGCUCUUCUUCCGGAAGCUGGGAGGUGGUGGGGACAAAGGCACACACUGGUUUUGGCUCAGUCUGGCUCUUGAGCUAAUAGGUGCCCCUCCCGGGACCUCAGGCCCACUUUCUGCAACACAGACGUCGUUCUCUUUCCUUCUGCCCGCCUUGGCUCCCGCUGGCCUUAGGACUAGAAACUGUGCCUGGUGGGUGUCUGGAGAGACUUGUUGGGGCUGAGUGACUGCAGGUGAUAUUUAAGGAGGUCUCAUGGGAGAUACGGUUUCAAGGCAAUGAAAACAGACAUCCGUGGGGACAGACUGUCUGAAUUUGAAUCCAGGUCACCGCUAGCUUCAUGGCCUUGGGCAAGUCAGGCAACUGAGUCUCGGCUUCCUUGUCUGUUAAAUGGGUGGAAUCAGAGGAAGUAGGUAGUGAGAAUUAAGUCAGAUAAUACGUACAGUGCUUGAAAGAGUGCCUUAAUCCAGGCCAGCUGAAUUAGCAUGGUCACCAGAAGCCUGUGGGGCUUUGACUGGAGCGAUCGAUGGCCACUUGUGGGGACCCGGCCCUGAGUUGGCCACUCAGAGUUCAGAGAGAGAACCAGUCAUGAGCUCAAGUAACUCAAAGUCUAGUGGGAAAACAGAUGUGGCUGAUGCAGGGGUGCAAUGCCUAUCAAGUGCUUAACGAAAUAUGUUUUGAGUAGACCUUUAAAAAGCAGAUUUCACAUGGAAAUCCAGAUUUGUGGCUUCUCUUAUGAUCUAGCAACACUGGGUUGGCUUUCCUGCACGGUGAUAAGAAGCCGGAGCAGAAUAAGUGUUGUAGCCUACGCCAGGUACUUUGCCCCAGUCCCCACUCUUCCCUCCUGCAUCCUGUCCGCCCAUAUUCAUGUUCAAGUGUGCUUGCUGCCUGGCCCUUUGGGAGUUUGCAGACAGAUUACAAUGCAAUGCUGUGAAUGCACCGGGAGCACGAUGAGGGAUAAUAACUCAUCCGUGGGCAGUCGGGAAGAGCUUCCCAAAGGAGCCGAAGUCCCAGUUGCCUCUCUGUAAUACCCGCCAAUGCUGCAGAACAUCCUUGUCUUUAUGGCUCAAGGAUGUGAAUAGAGGACACAAAGUCCUCCGAGCUGGCGGGAUCUCUUCCAUAAAGCAACCAAGCCUCAGUGGCUUGUGUGGUCAUACAGCCAGCUCGUGGCACAUCCAGGCUGUCAAUUAGAAGCAGCCGUGGGCCUCGGGAGUCUGCAAUUUGUACUCUGGAAUCUUGAUUCCCUCUCUGCCACCCUCCUGCAUCGUGGCCAUGGGUAGCUCAUUUCAUCUUCAACCUCGGUUUCUUCAUCUGUAGGGUAGGGCUGGGGAUUCUGACCUCAAGGGAGUGCUCUGGGGCCAGAUAGUGAGAAAAUGGGUAGGGGACACUCAUAAGCUCCGAAGCGCUCUAGGCCUGUGAGAGGCAUCACGAUGGUGGAGAAAUAGCCACCUUCUUCGAACAGAUUUGGCGCAUCUUUUUGAUGUUACGGGGACCUUGUCCCCCACCUGCUUUUGCCAUUCUCUCUCCUUUGCAUGUAGGAGUGUGCACAGCCUUCUUCCAGGCGUGGACCCAGAAAGGGAACGUUUUGGGAUUCUCUGGCCUUGGCUGUGAACAGGACUCCAGGCACAGAGCCCAAGGGCUCCCCUCUUUCACGAGGCUCCCACAUCAAAAGGAGAUGCUGAGAUAGAGCUGGGAAGGAAGCCGACCUCCCUGGGCAAAAGAGGAGAAAUGUCGGUAGUUACUUUGUUUCCUUUAAGACACCUGCCGCUGCGCAUCAGGGGCUACGUUCAAAUCCCCGUUCAGUGCCUGGAACUAUUGAGACAACAUGGCAUUGUGGUCGACUACUGGAUUUGGGAAUCCCGCUGUCCUGCGUGCAAAUAUUGACUCCUCCUUACUAGCUGAGUGUGCCUUUGGACAAAACUUUAAACUUCUCUAAACCUCAAUGUCUUCAUCUGCAAAAUGGGCUUCUUAAAAGUACCUGUUUUUUUUAGAGCUUUGUAGAAGUUAAAUGACAUUACGUGGUGAAGGGUUUAGCAUAUAGUGAACAGCUUAAUAAAUGCCAGAUAUGCAUUGCUGUUAUUGCAAAUGGUAAUAAGAAACGUACAUCAUGUUUGUACAGCGUUUUACCGUUUAGGAACUGGUCGUGUUCUCCUUAGCCCAUUUGACAUUCCCAACAACUCUUUGAGGUGGUCAGGGCAGGGAUUAUGACCUCGUUGCACACGUGAGAAAACCGGAGCCCAGGGAGGGCAGAAGUCUGCUCAAGGUCACACAGCUUGUGAGUGGUAGAGCCAAGCUCAAGUCCCCUUGGAUGAAGGAUGAGCAGUGUCAUUCGCAGGGCCAGGCCAGACCACCUGCACGUGCCGUCGGGCUGCUCCUCGGGCACUCUAGUUCCUCCAAAGACCCGUUUAUAGAGAGAUAAUCCUGUGGGUUUACCUAUUUAAACCCUUGUCGUACCUAUUUAUACGCUGAGCCUAUACCAGCUCCGGGGGCGAAGAAACUUGUCCUUGUGCCCUGGUGUCAGACUGACUUUCUUGGCAUCUGUCCCCAAAGGACCUCCGCGGGGGUUUCCCGCUGCCCCCUCGCACCCUGAUCCGUUUACCAGAAUAGCCAUGUGUUCUGAGUUCUGGCCGCAGGAUGGCGCUGCUCCCCAAGGCAUGAAAUGUCCAGCCCCUCACCAGGACUGCAUUUCCAGGAGUUGCAGGAGGUUGGGACCGCAUCUCUCUUGAUUACCACCAUCUCCAGCAUCGAGCACAGAACAGCAUGUAAUGGGAGCUGAAUGAAUGAAUGACUGGAAAGCAUCAGGAUGGUCCUCUAACGCCUCUGGGAAUCAGGCUGGGGCAUCACCAGGAAGGAGGACUCAAAUGCCUUCGCCUGGGAGCAGUACCUUUCACUGCGUGGCAACAGAGAAGCUUGUGGCAGAGUAAAGAGAGCCAGGCCUCUGCAAUGGGCAGCCUGUGGGACUCUCAGCAAUCACCCAGCCAUGGGUAAUUACCUACCCUCGCUGCACUUCUGUUUCCUCACUUGCCGGACCGGGACCCCCGUCUCCACAAGAGAGGGCUGCAGAGCCCAGAGAGGGGAGGAUCCGACUCUUUGAUCUCUGCUGGAUCUCCGGCACCCGGCACAGUGCCUGGCUGGGUGUAGAUAGUAGUUUUUGAAUGAACAAGUGCAGAGUGUGUCCAGGGAUUAACAUUGUGAAAAUGGGCCUGGUCCAUUGUAGGUGUUUGAUAAAGGGAGACUUCAAAUGCAGGAUUCUUGUAACAAGACGAGAGCUGGAAGAUUUCCUGAAGUGGGGGAAAGAAAAGUGCUCCCUGCCUGGCUGGAAUUGCUGUGUGUAUGAUGCCCUGCAGAGAGAGAGAAGGGAGCAGGCUGGAUGCCUUCCAAAACUCAGAAGGGAGGCUGAUUCCUACUUGGGAGGGUGUUAAAAUCCUAAGGGCAAGGCCAACAGACCGAGGGGAGAAAGUGAAGGAGAGAGAGAAAGGUGUGAGCAUCUUUUCCUUCUUCUUUUUUUUUUUUUUUUUCUGUUUUCUUACAGCCAAAUGCCUGGAAACCUGCGGCAUCCGGCAAUUCCCUGGCCUUGGCGUAUAGUAAGCACUCAGGAAAUAGUCGAGCCACUUGGAGCUUUAUGAUGUUUUAGGACUCCUCAAGUGCAUGCGUUUAUGACAGAAUACUUCCUGUAAGGAGAAUGUCGGUGCUCCUACCCGAGCAUGAGGGCGCGUCACGAGGGGGAGGACGUUUGUUUGCUCUGCUCACCGUUGCAGCCCAGCGCGGGGCACAGCGCCUGGCACAGAGAAGUGCCGGACAGCGACUGUGGAUAAUGGGGGCCGCACCAUGUGGCACGAACCUUGUGGCGAGAUGACCGUUUUUGCGGAGCCGAGGCUUCUGGUUCCAGAAUAUCAAGCUGGCCCAGAGAUCUCUGGGACCCUAAUGAAGCAGGCAGAUGGCGAAAUCCUGGUAUGGUUCUGGUGCCCGGGGGCACAAAGCAAUUCUCAAAUUCUUGUCCUCUUCCAACUGCUCUCAGUGCCCACGGCCCUACAGAGAUUCAGUGAGACCAGGGACUGGCAUGGACUUUGUGCCUGCGGGGAAUGAGCCCAUAGACUUGUCAUUUCUAGGGGGCCGUCCAGAUGUCCCGCUCGGGCUGUCAUAUCACAUUCAUACCCAGGGCCUACCGUGUGCCAGACCCUGCCCAGGUACUGGGUACCCGGCCAGUGGCCAAAGCAGGAAUGUUCUGCCCUCAUGGAGCUUCCCGAUCCACGGAGGACGUUGACAGUGAGCAAAGCAGAGCUGAUAAUCACAGCUGGGAUAGUGCCACAGAGGAAGUGGUCAAGCGCGUGGCUUUGCCAGAGAGGAGCUCCUGUCGGAAGAGGAAAUAGCACCCUGCCCAUGCUUUCGUUCCAGCCCAUUCUCACUCUCUGUCUGGGAAAAUCACAAGGAAACUCCACGUUUUGCUCCUGGAAUUCUUGCCAGCGUGAUUCAAGCCGAACGGAGCACAUGGCACCGAGUUCCCACACAAACAAAGACGUUGCCACUUUCAGUGCGGUGGCUUCCUUCCUUCUGCCGGCCCGGGCCCACCCCCCCCCCCCCCCCCCGUCUUGCCCAGGCAAGAGGGGCAGAGUGCACGCGGCCCGGUUCUCACCUACAAGGCCCCCCAUGGUGGGUGCACCUACAGUUGGGCGGUGGGUGGUGAAAUAAACACAGAGGCCAUCUGCCCAGGGAAUGCAUCCCGAGCCCUAUCCACUCCCCACUCACCCAGGGUUUCCUGGAUCAGAUGUCUUACCAGUGUUUAACUGAGCUGUGCGCCUUGGAGUCAAUUACCUACUCUUUCUGUGCCUCACUGUUCUCAUCUGGAAAAUGGAGAUGGUCACAGUACAAGAUGAUUAGAGGAUUAAGGGAGACACAGUGAACGUGCCGUGCAGCGCUCGGUAGACAGUGGGCACUCAAUAACUGCUGGCCACGAUGCUGAUGCCCUGUGUCGGUGUUAGCACAUGUUUUCGGAGCUCAGGCCUUCGCGGGGCCGUGCGUUCCUCAGCUAUAAGCCCCGUGACCGUGAAAUCAAUCACUUUCGUGCUCGGCGCUCCCAGGCGCUGCGUGCGAGAGCAGGAUUGCGUGGAGGCUCCCGUCCAAAUCCCGUGUCGAGAAAUGGAACAGGGAGCUGGGCGGACACAUCGAUUAGGCACAUUCCUGGCUCGAGUGUGGCUCUCUCCAGUCCCGUCUCUGCAGGCUGGUGAGCAAAAUUCAGGUGCUGACCUCCUGAGAACACCCCUUAGGCUGAAACCUAUCGCCCCCUUUGUCAGAGAUUAUGUGAUCUCCAGGGAAGAAGAGGUGUGGCGUCUCACCUCUGCCACUUCUGAACUGAGUGACUUGGGACAGAGGACUCUCCCGUGCCUAUGAUGCCCUCGUCUACGAAUGGGGUUGAUAACUGCCCUCCACGAAGGAUGUCGGGGGGGGCUCGGCACCGACUCGAGUGUCAGGGGUUUGGCCGGGGUCUGUGCUUAAGAGCAGCUGCCCCUUCACCAGUGAUGCUGCUGUCCCCAAAUCUCUAAAUUUUAACUAGGGUCCCCCUUGUGAAGGCCUGGGUUAUCCCCACUGGAAACCUGUUUUGGGAACUAGCCCCCCUGCAUGUCACCGAGGGAAAUGGGCGUCAAAACUGAUGGCCCCCUAGGUGGGGGGGAGACCUGGCCCAGACCUUGUCACAGGAUGAGCACCUCUGGGAUGAGAGGCCAAGUGGCCUAAUGGGCCGGGGACUCAGACUGGCUGGAUUUGAGCAGUGUUUCCACGCUCACUCCCAGUGGGGCCUUGACAAGUUCCUUAACUGUUCUGAGCCUCCGUUUCUUCACCUGAGAAAUGGGUGUGAUGAUAUCCCUCUUUGUGAGACCAGAGAAUUAAUGGCAGCUUAUUAAUUAUAUUCUAAGGCAUUAUUCUAAGCCACCCUGUGAGGUCAUCACAUCUAUAAAUAGCCUCACCUGACAGUUGGAGAAACUGAGGCACAGAGCGGUCACUAACUUGCUCAGGGCCACUCGUUCAUCCCAUUUCCUGGCGUGGUCCCUGCUCCUUCCUCUGCUCUCCUCACAUUUCCCCAAACUCGCCAGGCCAACCCACGCCUCUUGGCCUCUGUGUUCCUUCUGCCUGCAGUGACUGUUUCCCCACCUCUGCCUGACUCAAUCUGGUGUGUCCUUCAAGGCCCAGCUCAAGUGUCUCCUCCUCCAGGAAGCCCUCCUGCCAGGGCACUAGAGGUAGGUGAUCCUGUAGCCUGGCAUCCCCUUGACGCAGGCUCACACCCCCUGCGCAGUUACAAUGGAUUCAAUCUCCAGAGCACUUUCUUUCUCCCGGGCACGUGCAAGGCCGUCCGUGCCCCCUCUGCAGUGGGGUUGGUCUUUUCUCCACCUCGUGGCUGGGGAGACGGGAGCUGAACUCAGGUUCGCUCUCCAGGAGACAGCUGGGAAAACGCAUCCCUUUUAACUCGGCUCUGUUCUGGGACCCUGGCCUAGGUGUGUCUAUGGCCCCAGGGCCCUACACCACGUGGCGAUUCAAACAAGAGCUGUUGAAUGAAUCCUGAGCCCUCAGGAUGUGUCUCGAGAAUAAUAAUAGCUAAAAACCAAAAAGACCUCGAUCAAGGACCCCAGGUUCCCAUCCCCCUGGCUGGUUCAGGCAAGUCCUGAUCAGAACGGAAGCCCCGUGAGAGCAGACCCCUGGGUGCAUCUGUCAACACGUGCCUAUUCCAGGGUCUGGCUGGAGGAAGUGCUCAGAACGUACGAAGUGACAGGGAGACGUAUUUCCCCCUCGCGGGUGACAUCUUGGACGGCCCUGCUCUCUGUGGACCCAGUCUGCUUUGGGGCCCCUAAAUCUGAAGGUCUUUGGUUUCGGCCAAGGGGUACGUAGAGGAAAGAGUGAUCCCUGCACGCCCCCAAAUCAGAGAAAUUGGAGGUUUGAUGAGUGCUUCACGCACACAGAGAAAUGACAAAGCGAUAUAAGAGUGAGAGCCUUCAGAAUACCCAUCUUCUCCAGCAUCCUGCGUUUUUUUCUUUUUAGAGCAAAGCCCUGUAAUAUUAAUAAACGGCGGCGAGAAGGGAAAAGUGACUGUUUCCUUUUGACAUGGCGAAGAUCACAGGGCCUGGAGGACCUUUAAUCUUUAUUAAUGUGUCUCAGGGGGGCCUCUCCCACAAGCUGUGGGAAGCAGACAUGCAACGAGUUUGCUUGCUCGCGGUCCUCAGCAUCCCUGGGUGCCUCAGAUGACUGCCUGAUACUGUUCAGAGUGCAGCAAAGCCACGUCACGGGGACCCGCUGUGUCCCAGGCAAGAACAAGGCAGCCCUAACCCAGCUCCCAUCUGUGGGGGGCUGGAUGACAAGGGAAAUUCAGGACACGGGCCUCAGUCACAUGGGCCCGCUUCUAACCAAGGGCACCGAUGCCCUGAAGAGGCUCAGAAGGAACCAGGCUGUCAGUUGCAGGGACGAGCACAAAUCAUGCCUAGGAGGGGCCACACCUGAGUCCAUUAAGGAGCACGUCCAAUAACCGACACCCUCAUUUCCAAGGGCUCUCCUCCGCACUGCCUGGCCAACCGCUUCUUUCCCGCCCCCCCUUCCCUCUGGCUGGGCUGUGCACCAGGGGGCCAAAAAGGUCUGUAACUGGACACCGUGCAGACCUAAUUCCACAGACCUAGUGAGUCAGGAAUUGCAAGGCGGGUUCGGAGCGCACAACAGAAUUGAAAAGUGUUAUAGUAAGGAUAGAAGAGCCCAGAAAGUUGCAGAGUCUCUCUGUCUCUCUCUCUUUCUCCUUCUCUUUCUCUCUCGCUCUCUCUCUCUCUCUCUCUCUCACACACACACACACACACACACACACACACGUGCGCGCAUGCUGAGAAACCGAGAGGCAUAUUUUGACAUUCAUUCAUUCAAAAAUUCUGAAAACCACUCGGUGCUAAGCACUAUUCUGGGCAGUGGGGAUCCAGUGAUGGGAAGGACCGCCAAAGUUCCUGUUCCCCCAGAGCUUACGUUCAUCCCAGUGUUCUUGGGGGGAGUUUCUCCAGUGGCCAGGAUGGCGCAGGUUAAUCUCAAAAGCCACGUUACAAGACAGAGGGGGCGGGCACCAUUUGCACCCUCACUUUCCGGACACGGGAUCUAAGCUCAGGUCAGAGGCCAGCCUGUCUGAGGCCACCCGCUAGGGUGGGGGACCGGGAGGGGAGCUUGGUUUCCAGGCCUUUUCUCUUCCUACUCACUGCUCAGAGGCCGCGAAGAAGCCCGAGCUGAGAGGCCAGUGCUUUCUGGGAGGAAGAACCCGGUGAAGUGUGCUCAAAUAAAGCAUCACCUAAUUCGAUUAUGUUUGCUAGACUGCAGUGUAAUAAAACGGAGUUCCUCAUAAGCAUCAUCUCCUAAUGUUUACAGAACAAGAAAGCAGAAUUAAGAUAGGAAUUUCCAGGGAGAAAAGCAUGUGUUUUAGGCUGAAACGUAAAGAGAAUAGACCCGGAAGAAAUCGAUUCCUGAUUUUACAACUCAGCUCGGAUGAGGGGGUACACUGGGCGGCUGGCUCCUUGGGGAGGGCCUGGCGGAUGCCCCCAGGUGGCUGCUGGGGGUGGAGGUUCCCACCGGAAGGACCCCAGGACGGGGCAGAGGGGCCAGUGGGAGGAGAUGCCUUAUCGGGAAGAAGUGUUGGCAAAGAGAAACCUUGGGGACCUGCUGGGUUUGUUCCAAACGCCUCCUCGCUCCUGUCCUCCCAGCACCCACCGUCACAUGCAGACAGAGUGAUUUUUCUAGUAAGAGUAGAGCCUGGUGAUGAGCAUGUGGGUCCUGGGGCUGCCUACGUUCGAAGCCUGGUGUGCCCCUUCCCACGCUGUGUGACCCCAGGCAGAUUACUUGCCCAUUCUGGACAUCCAUUUCCUCACCCACAAGUCAUGAAGCUAGAAUGAGCCCAUGUGCAUGAAGCACUUAGAGCGGCACCUGGCCCCUAGUAGAUGCUGAAUUAACAAGAGCUGCUCUCAUUAUUUUAAAUCUGCAUAUACCCCUCCCUUUUCUAAAACGUUCUUUCGUUGCCCUCAGGGGAAAGCCACACUUCCCAGCGUGGCAGUCAAGGCUUUUGGUGAUCUGGCCUCUGCUUAGGACCCCUUUGUCCACCCUGGAACUCACGACUCCCUCUUUUGUGCCUCUGCUGAGCCCCCUGUAGAGUUUGAUUUCAUUGUUCUGCUCCCGUGGCCCUUGACCUCACUCGACAGUUAGGGCCUGGCCCUCGUUUCUAAGCUCUGGGUCCUGUCCAGGACGUAGCACUGCGCCUCAGGCAGUGGCUGCUGGGUGAAUUUGGCCAUUUAACGGGGAGAAAGUGAACGCUUGCGACCAGUUAUUAUUAUAAAGUAAGCACAUGCCUGGUGAUGGGGGAAAUGUUAAGUCCACGCAGAAGCUUGAGAGGCUGUUCAGAUGAUUUCCCUGGUUAAAAACCCUUUGAGAGGAAGAGCCUGGGGAGGGAAUACUGUGUUUUGCCAUCACAUCGCCUCUGGAUCAGGGAGGAAUAAAGCGAGGGUUCGUGUUUCUCCUUCGAGAAAUUAGGUCACUGGGUGUUGUUAAAGUGUGCCUUACAGAGCUAUGCUAAUCAGUUCUCUUCUGGCCUAAAUAUCUGGUAAUUAUCUUGGUUUUUUUUUUGCUUUGCCAGACUCGGCUUCCUAAAGCAGUUCAUCUACGUGGCUACUUGUCAAGAUCUUCAAGGGUAAUGUUAACCACGACCACCAAGUGGCAAAGCCCGCCCAGCGCCUGCCUGGUGCCGGGCACUGUUCUAAGCGGUUCAGGCGCACGGACGUCUCAGAUCUCUGCACAAUCAGGAGGAAGAUGGUACUAUUGCUCGCUGCUUCCAGGGCCUUUGCUGCCUCUGCUGAGCUCCCGGCCCUCUCUUCUUCCUCGCCCCUGGCUCCCCCUGCCCACUCCACAAAUUGUCCUGGCUACGCGGGGGCACGUGGCUUCCUCGGUAUAAGCCAGAGCUCCACAGGGAUCCAGCUCCCUGCCUCCCCACCCCCCCCGUGACCUCGGGCCGCCGCGGGGCCCUACCGCCCCCCCCCCCCCCGGCCCCGCCACGCACUCUCUGAGGCCUGGCUGGAGUCUCGACUCUGCCAGAAAGUUCUGUCUGAACUCUCGUGGCACUCGGAGUCCAAACCACCUGCUUUACUCUGUGGCGGACCAAUGGUCGCCAGCAUGCGUGUGCGUGUGCACGUAUGAGCACAUGUGUGUCCAUGAGUGUGCGUGUGCGUGCACGCUCCUGUGAUCACGUUCUUUCCAUACUUAGAUUAUAAACCAUUUGAAUACAGGGAUCAAGUCUCCCUCUGCCUCUCAGCCUCCAUAGAACACUGAUCUAACUAUAAGAUUCUCUUUACACACUUCGUUCAUCCAAAAAAAAAAAAAAUCAAUAAUAAGCCUAUAUUAAACACAGUCCACGGUGUGCCAGGUACUGUGACCAGCACUGGGGUGUUGGCCUAGACGGUGAUUGACUAUCGAUGGGAGGGCAAACGUGGAAAAAGAAUUUAAGGAAAAACCCAAUCGAUCCGGGGCAGUUCAUCAUUUGGCGCUCAAAACUCCACAACCCAACUUUUGACCUAACAUACGAGGUGACAUCAAUUACAAAUAACAUUCACCUUGACAUGUAAAUACAGGUUCUAUGGGCUUAA